UUAUAGGAAGAGCGUCUUGUUGAAUCAUUGAGCUUUAUAUUAAAUAUGUACGACAGUGACCUCCUGAUGCAGUUUGUCAUCCAUCUACCUCUGCUCUGACAUCCUCAAGGAUGAAGCUAAUACUACAGCCGUGAUUGAUUGCCGUUGUCACACCUCCAGAGCUCCACGCCCCGACGGUUGUGUUUCAUGCAGCAAGAAAGAAAUCGCAUCAGUGGAAACAAUGGCAAUUCUCUGAAAUCAAACAACAACGGCAGCCGCUGUAACAUCUUGUCCUUCACCUGGUUUGGAUUUUCACGGCUCACCGCCCAACAAAUACACGGACUUCAGAGGAUAAGAUGUAAAAUCACCGCACAAUCUGGCUGUGUUUAUCACGUCACAUCAGGUGUUCUGGUCUUUUCUAGGACAAUGGAGGUGUCAGAGGAUGACAUGCAGAGAUGUGUGAUGAAUUCUUGGAAUUUGCAUUCCCCUUUAUAUCUGCACUAUCCUUAGCAAAGAACAGCCCAGUGUAACCAUGGCAACAGCAGCAUCCUCUGAGUAAUGUUUUACAGAAGAGUGUUUCACUUAAAGGGAGCUCACAGGACCAUGGCAAAGAUUUAGCUAUGACUUUCCAGCCUCGGAUGGAU
rnacentral:lncRNA from 12 species